UUUUUUUUAGUUUUUUUUUUAUUUUCAUUUGCUUCCCCUUUUUAAAAAAAGUUUCAGAGAACACACCCCUCCCUCUUCUAUUUUCCUCUUUGCUAGGGCUAUAUGAGACCCAUCAUCGCAAGCUGUCGGACCACUACAACUCCACCGUGGGUGGUGGUCGGGGUCACUCAAAAAAGGGAUUUUGACCCUUAUUUCUUGUAUUUUGAGGGGGCCAAACUCAUUCAAUCCAUCAGCCGAAGGAUGAGGGUCGAUUCAUGUAAGUCCUCCCCUCUUUUUAUUUCAAAAUAGAUCGGUAUUAAAAAAAAUGAAACAAGAAAAUGAAACGAAAACUCAAAGAACAACCGUUUGAAACUUCUGUUCUGUUCUUGUAUUUUCAGUGUGCGUAAAAAAAACAAAAUAGAAUAAUCGGACUCUUAUAGUCGAUUAAUGUGACUAUCUAUUUUUACAUUUUUGUCGUUUUUGCUUGAUUUUUCUCCUGUCCAUGUAUUACUCUCUCUGUCUUCGUAGCAGGUGUCAGAGACGCGUGGAUGGGGCGUUCGAGGAGUACGACGAAGAGGCGCGCAUGGUGGCAGCAAGCAGUGAGGUAUGCAGCGACAGAGGAGGGGGCUAGGGUUUGCUUGCUAAAAAUUUUGAUAACUAGUGAGCUAGGAUUUGGGCUGGUUUCGUUUGUAUUUUGGGUCUAAAAUGGGUUUUUAAAUUAUUGGGCCACACAUAAAUUGUAAAUGGACUUAAAAAAAAUUGGACUUUUUAAUUUUUUAUUUUAUUUUGGGUUUUAUUUUUGUUUUAUUGGUUUGGGUUUAUUUUUGGUUUGUUGGUCUGGGCCAAAAUUGGCUACUACACUUAAAACACGAAAAUCAUGUGCAUUACCUUUCCAACCAACUAGAAUUAGGAAAAUUUUAAAUCAAAUGUAAUGACAGCCAAUACAUUUUGUGUCGUCCCUCCUUUACAACUAUUAAGUAUAAAAACAAGUUAUUUCUUAUUCUAAAACAUACCAUGGAAUUUUGUAGAGAUAAUAAAAAUAACAAUAAGAGCAGAAGUAGUAAAAAAAA
rnacentral:lncRNA from 1 species